UUCCAAGAUUUUCGCGUAGGACGGGUGCGGCCUUCAGUUGUUGUGAGUUUAGGCCCACCAAGAUUAUACAUGGUCGUGUUCUGAGAGGAGUAUGCCCGGAGAUGGGUACUGGAGACCAGGACCCAGGCCCUAUGGGGCGCAGCAGGCGAGAUAACUUGCAGAUGGGCGAAAGCACGACAAGGUUAAUCCGAGUGGUUUCUGCUGAAGGAAACCGUUGGUCAGUCCUAGAAACACUGAGUAUAAGGGGUGGGCAAGUUCUGGUGUCAGCCGCCGCGGUAAAACCAGCACCUCAAGUGGUCAGGAUGAUUAUUGGGCCUAAAGCAUCCGUAGCCGGCUCUGUAAGUUUUCGGUUAGAUCUGUACGCUCAACGUACAGGCUUCCGGGAAUACUGCAGAGCUAGGGAGUGGGAGAGGUAGACGGUACUCGGUAGGAAGGGUUAAAAUCCUUUGAUCUAUUGAUGACCACCUGUGGCGAAGGCGGUCUACCAGAACACGUCCGACGGUGAGGGAUGAAAGCUGGGGGAGCAAACCGGAUUAGAUACCCGGGUAGUCCCAGCUGUAAACUAUGCAAACUCAGUGAUGCAUUGGCUUGUGGCCAAUGCAGUGCUGCAGGGAAGCCGUUAAGUUUGCCGCCUGGGAAGUACGUACGCAAGUAUGAACUCAAAGGAAUUGACGG
rnacentral:rRNA from 1 species